rnacentral:lncRNA from 1 species
GUUUUGUUUUAUGGUUUCUCCAGCAGUGUAUGAGACUUCAAGCUGCUCCACAAUCCCCCACAACACUUGUUCUGGAGGCUGGGAAGUCCACAAUCAAAGCACUAGCAUAUGAUGUCUGAAAAAUUACACAACAGCCUCAGACUGGUCGGACCCUUCAGGAUGAAUUCCGGAAGAAGACAUUGCUGUCAUAGGAGAUGACAGCUCCAAGCGUUAUUACCCCUUCAUGAAGAUGUUUCAGUGGGACAAGAUGUGAAGGUGGAAGACAAUGAUAUUGAUGAUCCUGACCCUGUGCAAGCCUAAGCUAAUAUGUGUGUUUGUGUCUUAGUUUUUAACAAAAAGUUUAAAAAGCAGACAAAAAAAUUGUAAUAGAAAAAAAUGCUUACAGAAAAAGAAUAAAAAGAAACAAAUUUUUA